rnacentral:lncRNA from 1 species
UUGAAGAAUUUUAUGAGCUUGAAACCAGAUUAAAAGACAACCGGGAGUACUGUAAAUUAAACAACUGUGAUAAAUAACCAAAUGAACCUAAUCCUGUCUUAUUCGAACAUGAACUUUUCACUACACUUUCAUUUAUGUUUUCGCUUUGUCACCUCAAGAAAGCAGGUGGAAAAAAUGUUAUGGUCAGGUAUGUAUUUUUGAUUAACUCUGGAUAAUCAAACCAUUUAAACUGUGAGUAAUUAAUAGAAAUAUCUAGCCCAAGAAAAGUAAUUUAGAAAAACAAACAAUUUUAAUAUUAUUAUUUGGGGAGAACCUUAAUGAAUGAAACAUUGAUUAAAUGGGACAAAAUCAAAUUUGCAUACAAACAUAUAAGGUUAAUUAGUAAAUAAACCCUGUGGUAAAAAAUGUUAAACACAACAAUUCAACAGACCAAAUCAUUAUUCUAUCAUAGCCUAAACAUGAUGGGCCAAACAUAACAUUAAAACUGUUGCAUUAAUGGAAAUUAAUAGCACAUUUUUCCUGGCGGAACAAACAAUUUUCAAUGUAUAAAUUAGAAAACUUUAUCAACUUUUAAAAAGUCUUUUACAAAAACUGCCCCGUUCAUUUAGGUUCUCCCCUACAGGUUUCAGCUUUAAUUUGAUGUCAAAAUUGAAUGUACAACAUUUAUAAAAAAGUAUAGAACCUUUCAAAACUAUACUUUGUGAGUUAUUACUUUAAUGUGUGUUUACAAUUAAUGAAAUAAGUUUGCUGGAUCGAUGUAGUAUUAGAAAGUAGUUAUUUUUCAUUUAUUAUUUUUUAUUACGUUUUUAUGGAAUUAUGGAGCAUCAUGUUAAGCCCAAGUUGAAUAUAAAAAGCAAAAUUCGUGGUGAUGUAAAAAAGGUAUCAUUCGAAGAUAAAAAGUUGUGUAAAGCAAUAAUUGGAGUCAUCCAGCUAAUGCACUAGUCUUCAACUGAAGCAAACAAAAGAUCAAAUAGAAAGCAUUUUUAAG